rnacentral:rRNA from 1 species
GGAAAAUCAAGGCUGAGGCGUGAUGACGAGGCACUACGGUGCUGAAGCAACAAAUGCCCUGCUUCCAGGAAAAGCCUCUAAGCAUCAGGUAACAUCAAAUCGUACCCCAAACCGACACAGGUGGUCAGGUAGAGAAUACCAAGGCGCUUGAGAGAACUCGGGUGAAGGAACUAGGCAAAAUGGUGCCGUAACUUCGGGAGAAGGCACGCUGAUAUGUAGGUGAAGUCCCUCGCGGAUGGAGCUGAAAUCAGUCGAAGAUACCAGCUGGCUGCAACUGUUUAUUAAAAACACAGCACUGUGCAAACACGAAAGUGGACGUAUACGGUGUGACGCCUGCCCGGUGCCGGAAGGUUAAUUGAUGGGGUCAGCGCAAGCGAAGCUCUUGAUCGAAGCCCCGGUAAACGGCGGCCGUAACUAUAACGGUCCUAAGGUAGCGAAAUUCCUUGUCGGGUAAGUUCCGACCUGCACGAAUGGCGUAAUGAUGGCCAGGCUGUCUCCACCCGAGACUCAGUGAAAUUGAACUCGCUGUGAAGAUGCAGUGUACCCGCGGCAAGACGGAAAGACCCCGUGAACCUUUACUAUAGCUUGACACUGAACAUUGAGCCUUGAUGUGUAGGAUAGGUGGGAGGCUUAGAAGUGUGGACGCCAGUCUGCAUGGAGCCGACCUUGAAAUACCACCCUUUAAUGUUUGAUGUUCUAACGUUGACCCGUAAUCCGGGUUGCGGACAGUGUCUGGUGGGUAGUUUGACUGGGGCGGUCUCCUCCUAAAGAGUAACGGAGGAGCACGAAGGUUGGCUAAUCCUGGUCGGACAUCAGGAGGUUAGUGCAAUGGCAUAAGCCAGCUUGACUGCGAGCGUGACGGCGCGAGCAGGUGCGAAAGCAGGUCAUAGUGAUCCGGUGGUUCUGAAUGGAAGGGCCAUCGCUCAACGGAUAAAAGGUACUCCGGGGAUAACAGGCUGAUACCGCCCAAGAGUUCAUAUCGACGGCGGUGUUUGGCACCUCGAUGUCGGCUCAUCACAUCCUGGGGCUGAAGUAGGUCCCAAGGGUAUGGCUGUUCGCCAUUUAAAGUGGUACGCGAGCUGGGUUUAGAACGUCGUGAGACAGUUCGGUCCCUAUCUGCCGUGGGCGCUGGAGAACUGAGGGGGGCUGCUCCUAGUACGAGAGGACCGGAGUGGACGCAUCACUGGUGUUCGGGUUGUCAUGCCAAUGGCACUGCCCGGUAGCUAAAUGCGGAAGAGAUAAGUGCUGAAAGCAUCUAAGCACGAAACUUGCC